GUCUUGCUUCAUGUUGGGGUACAAAACAACGAGGCUACGAAUUUUCUCCAGAGCACGAUAUGGAGUUUGUUAAGGAUAAUAAGGCCAUCCCUCCUCAUCCACAGCUCAUCUGCUGGAUAGGCCUGUGCAUUUGGUUCUUUUUCCCCUGGAGAAGACAACUUCAUUUCAAAGAAACUAUUUUUACUGAGGGUGGUGUAGGUCUAAGUUAAAAAACUGUUCCUGGACUCAGUGGGUCCAUCACUGGGGUGCAUAGCAAUGAAAAUGCCAAGUAUUUCAAUCACAGCAUAAGUGUUUAUUUCUUGUGAUGAGAAGACUGAAAAGAAAAGAAAAGAAAAAAAAAAAAAGAGAUAGAGAGAGAAUAAAGAGAGCUCCCUGGUGGCCGAGUGUUUAAGGAUUUGGCACCGUCACUGCUGUGGCUCAGGUUAGAUCCCAGGCCCAGGAACUUCUGCAGGCCAUGAGUACAGCCAAAACAAACAAACAAACAAACAACAACAGCAAAACAGGUAAGGAGACAGGGAGAUGGCUCUCAAAACAUUGUCUCCCCAAAUAGCAAGAUCAGGAUAUUUUAAGCUAAGGGUGCAUGCAUCUGCAUGAAAGGGCAACUGAGAUCUUCCAUGUAAAGAUGAAAUUCUGGAUGUACUUGCCCAGGUCAACAACAUGCUCAAACAUCCAUGCAUUGCAUAUUCAAAAAUGGCAGAAAUUCCAGCCCAGGGGUGGAGAUUUUAGCUUUAUAAUGAGGCAAAUGUCACUCUAGAUUGACAAAAUCCUGGCACCUAUUUGAGUGAAGUCUCAAGCCCCAGCAAAGGUCCACAUCAUCAUUCUUUCGGCUCCAGUUCAUCUGGCGAUUGAGUGCUUGAGGGAUUUUGGAACCUGCAGAGCAACUCGAGAACAUGCUUCAAGUUGACCUUUACGUUGAAACAGAACAGAACAGAGAGUCUUUAUAAUCGAUUUGUUAUCUUUGCUAUGGUUACUUCUCUUGCCUAAUAAAAGUCUUUUAUUUCUGGA